AUGUCCUCCUCCUCCUUCACUCUCCCUGAUGACGACUCCGUCCCCACCGUCGGGUCAACCCGCCCGUUCGACGACGAUGACUACCUCAGCUACGAGCACGACUCCGUAGUAGUAGACGACGUCUUCGCUACGCCUCAGCCGCUCAUUGAGCCUCCAUCUCCGCCGUCGAUCUUCGCUGCCGGAUCGAACGAUCCGAUUCAGCCGGAGAUGCUGCCAGAGGAGGGCGCCGCUCUCAGGGAAUGGAGAAGGCAAUUGAAGAUACGGUGUCGGGGAAGGCGGUGCCGAUAGAGGAGACCCAUUCUAAUUUCGAUCAGAUUCAGCCGAUUCUUUGAGUGAAUCAAUUUAAUCCCAUCUUUAACAGAGAACCUCCUCCUCUUUGUUCUUCAAUAUUUUGAAAUUAAUUGUCCGUGUAAUAUUUACUGUUAGAAAUUUAACCAUGUCGAUUGGAUUUUUUUGUCUCGAUCGUUUGAAACGGUGUUAGUAUUAGUGUUAGUGUUAGUAUUAGUGUUAGUGUCGUACAGUUGACUGUAUUAAAUGAAUGAUUGUGAUUGGUCAGUGACUAUUGGUUCACAUGCACCUCGGUACAUACAAGAACUUUCGUUUGUUAACGUAGCUAAACCAUGUUAGAUUAUUUCUAAUUAUAAAUUUGUUUCAAUUUUCUUCC